rnacentral:misc_RNA from 1 species
AGCAGCCGCGGUAAUUCCAGCUCCAAUAGCGUAUAUUAAAGUUGUUGCAGUUAAAAGCUCGUAGUUGAAUUUCGGGGUUAGUAGGUUGGUCAUGCCUCUGGUAUGUACUGGUCUCACUGAUUCCUCCUUCCUGAUGAACCUUAAUGCCAUUAAUUUGGUGUUUUGGGGAAUUUGGACUGUUACUUUGAGAAAAUUAGAGUGUUUAAAGCAAGCUAACGCUUGAAUACAUUAGCAUGGAAUAAUGAAAUAGGACGUUCGAUCCUAUUUUGUUGGUUUCUAGGAUUGACGUAAUGAUUAAUAGGGAUAGUUGGGGGCAUUAGUAUUCAAUUGUCAGAGGUGAAAUUCUUGGAUUUAUUGAAGACUAACUACUGCGAAAGCAUUUGCCAAGGAUGUUUUCAUUAAUCAAGAACGAAAGUUAGGGAUCGAAGACGAUCAGAUACCGUCGUAGUCUUAACCAUAAACUAUGCCGACUAGGGAUCGGAUGAUGUUAAUUUUUAAUGACUCAUUCGGCGCCUUAACC